GAUGAACGCUGGCGGCGUGCCUAAUACAUGCAAGUCGAGCGAACUGACCAGAAGCUUGCUUCUAUGACGUUAGCGGCGGACGGGUGAGUAACACGUGGGCAACCUGCCUGUAAGACUGGGAUAACUUCGGGAAACCGAAGCUAAUACCGGAUAGGAUCUUCUCCUUCAUGGGAGAUGAUUGAAAGAUGGUUUCGGCUAUCACUUACAGAUGGGCCCGCGGUGCAUUAGCUAGUUGGUGAGGUAACGGCUCACCAAGGCAACGAUGCAUAGCCGACCUGAGAGGGUGAUCGGCCACACUGGGACUGGGACACGGCCCAGACUCCUACGGGAGGCAGCAGUAGGGAAUCUUCCGCAAUGGACGAAAGUCUGACGGAGCAACGCCGCGUGAGUGAUGAAGGCUUUCGGGUCGUAAAACUCUGUUGUUAGGGAAGAACAAGUACAAGAGUAACUGCUUGUACCUUGACGGUACCUAACCAGAAAGCCACGGCUAACUACGUGCCAGCCGCCGCCGUAACAC
rnacentral:rRNA from 1 species